AAUGGGUCAGCGACUUAUAUUCUGUAGCAAGGUUAACCGAAUAGGGGAGCCGAAGGGAAACCGAGUCUUAACUGGGCGUUAAGUUGCAGGGUAUAGACCCGAAACCCGGUGAUCUAGCCAUGGGCAGGUUGAAGGUUGGGUAACACUAACUGGAGGACCGAACCGACUAAUGUUGAAAAAUUAGCGGAUGACUUGUGGCUGGGGGUGAAAGGCCAAUCAAACCGGGAGAUAGCUGGUUCUCCCCGAAAGCUAUUUAGGUAGCGCCUCGUGAAUUCAUCUCCGGGGGUAGAGCACUGUUUCGGCAAGGGGGUCAUCCCGACUUACCAACCCGAUGCAAACUGCGAAUACCGGAGAAUGUUAUCACGGGAGACACACGGCGGGUGCUAACGUCCGUCGUGAAGAGGGAAACAACCCAGACCGCCAGCUAAGGUCCCAAAGUCAUGGUUAAG
rnacentral:rRNA from 1 species